AAAUGGUUGUUGUUUUGAGGUUAUCAACAGCAAACAUUUGAGUAAGCCACUUAAUUUCUUUCUGUUCAAGUUUUUCUUUUUGUCUUACUAACUUCCUUUAAUUUCUUUCUGUCCAAGUUAUUUUUCUUUUUGUCUUACUUCCUAGCCAGUGAGUUUUGGAAUACACAAUCACUGGAGUGACUUCAUGAAUUACCUGAAUCUGCCUCUGCAGAAACUUCACGUAUUCGACUGCUUCUUCCAACAUGUCGGCUGUGUUGGUUUGCUGUGGAUGGAAAAACUCAAUGUCAGUCAUGAAUUUACUGUGUACAAUAAGAACAGCACAGACAACUAGCGAUAAAUCAGUCAAUCUAUUUGCAGCUACGCUCACUGUAAAGUGGUGCAAGUAUUGAGAUUCUUUCUGUUUCACCCCAAAUCAGCCGAGAUUUAUCAUCUUUUUAUAACAAACCUUAGUUUUACCAUUUCAUUAUUAAUAGAAGAAAAUCAAUUUUACCACCCAUAAAACACCACAUAAUUGUAAGAUAGCUUUUCUUCUUUGUUCUGUACCUUCUAAACUGCUGAUCCUCAUUAAGCACAUAUAUGACAUCUUGGCCAGCACAAAAUAUCCAAAAUGAACAAGGCACUGUUUCUUAGUGAAGUCAAACAUUAAGGAUCCCAUAGACAUGACAUAAAAAUUAGGGAUAAAUCAGGACAUCAGCCAAAUUAAUAUUGAGGUCUAAAAGAAGUUCAAUGGUGCAGGCUCGACAAAUGAUAUACCAGCGAAAAGGUGGAACAGAGAGAGAGAGAGAGGGAGCCAAAGGUAAAAGGAGAGAAGAAUGAGAAAGAUAAGAGAUAAUAAAGAGGGGGUGUUGUACUACUCAAACUCUUAAGAUAUGUUGUGAAGUAAAAUCUAAGCUAUCAUAUCCUCCAAUCUUAAAUGCCCGUCAAUGGAAGAACAUUCUAAAUUACUUCUCAAAAUCUAAAAUAUUUUGGUCUGCAUUCAGGCGGAAAGAGACAUUUGGUGUGCAUUCUAUGAAGAAGCAGGCGAAUGCUCUCUUUGCUCUUACUAUGAUAAGAAUUCAUUCCUUUGUUAGAGUAGGUAAAGACUCAUUUAUACACUUAGAAUAAACAUUUAUGGAUUCUUUAAUCCAGAUUUAAAUUAUAGAUCAAAUCAAGAUGUACUUGGUGAUAUUAGUGGUCAUUGCUUAAGUUCACUUGAUCCAUUAGAUAAAAGCUCUUUUUUUUUUGACAAGGGAGAUAAAACUCAUUUUUUACAAAGUAAAGACUCAUCUAUAUACCUAGAAACAAUAACAUAUAUGGAUUCUUAAUCCAAGACUUAGAUUAAUUGAUCAGGGAAUCAAGAGUCAAGACAUACUUUGUGAUAUUAGUGGUCAUUGCCAAAGGUUUGGGUGUGGUGGGUGUCUUUGGUCUCUGUGUGUAUGUUCCUACUUGGUGGGUUUCCUAUUUCUUAGUCCUUAUUUCGUAGUGCUCUUAUUUCUCUUAUCUCGCAUUUUCUAUGAUUUCUAUUUUUGUUAUUUUAUUCCUUAUUUCUAUUAUGUCAUUCAUCCUGCUGCUUGUUUCAUUACAACCUUGUUUACUAUUCUUUAUCUUGAGCCGAGGGUCUAUCGGAAACAAUCUCUCUAAUUCUUCGGAGGUAGCGGUAUGGACUGCGCACAUCUUACCCUCCCCAGACCACACUUUGUGGGAACACACUAGGUUUGUUUGUUGUUUGUUGAUUGCCAAAGGUUAAGCAAUUGAUCUAUUGGUAGGAUUUUUGAAGUGUGAGAAUGUAUUGUUUCUUAAAUAUGGCUUUCAUUUUAUCCUACAUCGUAACGGAUGUUUGACCAAAAUACUUCCUUUGGAAUGAUAUUCUGACCGUACUUUUUGGCAUUCCCGACAUGUUCAUCCUGUCACAGAACAUAUCUAACAUAUCAAACAACUUGGAGUAAUCUUCUAACAUCAACAGCAACAACAACAAACCCAGUAUAUUCCCACAUAGUGGGGUCUAGGGAGGGUAGAGUGUACGCAGUCCAUACCACUACCUCAAAAGAGGUAGAGAGGUUGUAGUAAUCUUCUAACGUAUCUUUUUUUUUUUUUUGAGAAUUCAAUCUUCUAACAUAUAUAACCAAUCAAUCUUAUCUAGUUUGCCUAACAUCUGUCCUUUACUUCAACAGGCAACAAGAAGGUUGAGAUUUGACAAAAUCGAGACUGGAGCUUCGUUUAGCAAAAACUCAGUUUUUUAUGUUAAAUGGCUAUUGUGAGUUCGUCACAAAUGGAUUAGCAUAAGCAAAGGAGGCAUUCAACGAGGAUAAACAGAAUUUAUCUUAUUCCUUACAAUUUCAAAAGAUCAGAUCAAUUCUAAUGAUGGUUGAACUUAUGCGAAUAGGUAAGAACUUAUCUCUCAAAUGGUGAGUAAUGAGUAUUACAUUGAGUAAUGGGAGGGACCCAC
rnacentral:lncRNA from 1 species